AUUUAUAUAAUAUAUCCAGUAUUCUUGAUUUCCAAUCAAAUAGUUUAAAAUAAAUUUAAUAUAAAUA
rnacentral:tRNA from 1 species